UACGGAGGGUGCGAGCGGUAUUCGGAAUUACUGGGCGUAAAGCGCGUGUAGGCGGCAGGGCAAGUCUGGUGUGAAAGCCCGGGGCUCAACCCCGGAAGUGCAUUGGAAACUGCUCUGCUUGAGUACCGGAGAGGAAGGGGGAAUUCCCGGUGUAGCGGUGAAAUGCGUAGAUAUCGGGAGGAAUACCAGUGGCGAAGGCGGCUUCCUGGCCUAUUCCUGACACUGAGGCGCGAAAGCGUGGGGAGCAAACAGG
rnacentral:rRNA from 1 species